rnacentral:rRNA from 1 species
GAUGAACGCUGGCGGCGUGCCUAAUACAUGCAAGUCGAGCGAACGGACGAGAAGCUUGCUUCUCUGAUGUUAGCGGCGGACGGGUGAGUAACACGUGGAUAACCUACCUAUAAGACUGGGAUAACUUCGGGAAACCGGAGCUAAUACCGGAUAAUAUUUUGAACCGCAUGGUUCAAAAGUGAAAGACGGUCUUGCUGUCACUUAUAGAUGGAUCCGCGCUGCAUUAGCUAGUUGGUAAGGUAACGGCUUACCAAGGCAACGAUGCAUAGCCGACCUGAGAGGGUGAUCGGCCACACUGGAACUGAGACACGGUCCAGACUCCUACGGGAGGCAGCAGUAGGGAAUCUUCCGCAAUGGGCGAAAGCCUGACGGAGCAGCGCCGCGUGAGUGAUGAAGGUCCUCGGAUCGUAAAACUCUGUUAUUAGGGAAGAACAUAUGUGUAAGUAACUGUGCACAUCUUGACGGUACCUAAUCAGAAAGCCACGGCUAACUACGUG